AACGAACGCUGGCGGCAGGCUUAACACAUGCAAGUCGAACGGGUGCAGCAAUGCAUCAGUGGCAGACGGGUGAGUAACACGUGGGAACCUUCCUAGGGGUACGGAACAACUCAGGGAAACUUGAGCUAAUACCGUAUGUGUCCGAGAGGAGAAAGAUUUAUCGCCCUUAGACGGGCCCGCGUCGGAUUAGCUAGUUGGUGGGGUAACGGCCUACCGAGGCGACGAUCCGUAGCUGAUCUUAGAGGAUGAUCAGCCACACUGGGACUGAGACACGGCCCAGACUCCUACGGGGGGCAGCAGUGGGGAAUCUUGGACAACGGGCGCAAGCCUGAUCCAGCCAUGCCGCGUGAGUGAAGAAGGUCUUCGGAUUGUAAAGCUCUUUUGCCAGGGACGAUAAUGACGGUACCUGGAGAAUAAGCCCCGGCAAACUUCGUGCCAGCCGCCGCGGUAA
rnacentral:rRNA from 1 species